rnacentral:tRNA from 1 species
GCGGCCGUGGUGGAAUGGUAGACACGCAAGUUUGAGGGACUUGUGGACGUACGUCUGUGUGAGUUCAAAUCUCAUCGGCCGCA